rnacentral:tmRNA from 1 species
GGGGGCGUCACGGUUUCGACGGGAUGUGCUCUGGCGGGAGAAGCAGGCGGAGUUCCGAGCCCUCCUAAAACGAUCGGACAACGUAUAAACGCGAACAGCGAAUACGCACUGGCAGCCUAACUAGGCUCUCACGCUUACGGGGCAACGGUUCCGUCACGGGCCCGUAGGUGUCACUAAGCACGGAUACCGGAUGCAGGUGCUCUGAUGCAGCCGGGAAAUCGAUCGGAGCUGGCGGCGCGGUAAUCCCGCUCGGGGGAGUACGUGUCGCGAGUGAAAAUCCUGAGCUAAGCCUGUAGAUGCUGCCGUGGGGGUCAUUUCGGACACCGGUUCAACUCCGGUCGCCUCCACCA